UACGUAGGUGGCAAGCGUUGUCCGGAUUUAUUGGGUUUAAAGGGUGCGUAGGUGGCUUGGUAAGUCAGCGGUGAAAGGCUACAGCUUAACUGUUAGUAUGCCGUUGAUACUGCCGAGCUUGAGUAAAGUUGAGGUGGGCGGAAUGAAUAGUGUAGCGGUGAAAUGCAUAGAUAUUAUUCAGAACGCCAAUUGCGAAGGCAGCUCACUUAGUUUUCACUGACACUGAGGCACGAAAGCGUGGGGAUCAAACAGG
rnacentral:rRNA from 1 species